AAAAAAUCACGCUUUCGUAUCACGUUUCUAAUUAUCCAAAAACAGGACAUCGACAAAGCCGAAUGGAAUCCAGGAAGUUUUCGCUGACUAGCAAUGAAAGGCGAUUAACUGCACAAACUAGAUUCUUUGUAGAUGAAGAGCUUGCAAAACUAUCGCCAGUCCUGUCCCGCAUGAUCUGUAUGCCAUCCGACCGACCUCUACAAUUGAAAAGCGUAGACGCGACAACUCUUGCAUUAAUUAGAGAAUGGUUAGAACAUCAUCGUUCUCAGAAGUCUAGGCCCGAUGGGAAGCUACCCCGAGACAACUGGGAUUAUUGGUUCAUCUCAGAGGUGGCAGCGGGCGAUUUGCUCCACGAACUUAUAAUGACUUUUAAAGGCAGCUCAUCAUCUGAGAAUAAACGACCUCGUUGAAUUAGCCUCUGAGGCGUUUGCCAAGACUCUUGACGCAUCGCCUGAAGGACUUCGGAUGAAAUUUAACGUUGCAGAUGACUUUACGGUGGCGGAGAGACAAGCGCUUAUCAAAGAGCUCGGAUAUUGUCUCAAGAAGGUGUAAUAGGUGUUAUCCCAUUGUACCACUAAAAUCAGGUUUCGUGAGACUUCCAAUAAAAGUGACAAAUACGAAAAAAACGUAUCAUCGAGGAGAUAAAUACGUGAAAUAAUAAAAAUCGAUACCCUU